UUACCUAAAUUGCAUUGCCAUGCCAGAACAAUGGCAUGUGGCUCGGGUGCACUGCCAGAAGAGCUGUCGAAUGGGAGAGGAUUUUGGGUGCACGAAGUGAAUGCCGUGGCAGCUCUUUGGGGCAGAGCAAAAACUCAAGUCGACAUGUAAAUGUAAUUAAAGUGCAGUUAGCUCACACAGACACUGAGGGGCAUGCCAAAUGAAAUUGAAAUAAAUUAUUGACUAAUUGUCAACUCAGACAAGGACAAGCUGUGGCGCAGCCUCUCCUUCCGCUUCUCUGUUUGCAAUCAAAUCUCAAAUCAAAACCAAACAACAACGGCAGCUAAUUUGCCAGGGAAAAACUUGAAGCCCUGUGGAACCCACUCUGCUCCUUUUUCGGCCACGUUUGCAUUUAAUUUAAUUUGAUUGUUCUUGUCUGGGCCCCAUGAAUGGCCCUCGGGGAUGUAUCAGUGCCAGUCAGUGCCUUAAAGAGGUCAUCAAAAUUUAAAGGUGGAAUUUGCAACUUGGAGUCUGCCACUUCAAUCAAGAUUAAUUGCUUCAAUAGCCAAUUCAAGGUAAGAUAAGCCACUCGGCUCCCACUCAGUUGGGUCCACAAAUUUAUGAAUUCUUUUGCAGAUGAUCGAUUCAUCCAGCCCCACACUCGAGUGUAGUUCCCACUGCCAUUGACUGGACUUAUGCAAUCCGCUGAAAUAUCACUGUCCAAACAAGAUCUGCUCUUUGCAGUGGAGCUGUCAAUAGAUCCC
rnacentral:lncRNA from 1 species